rnacentral:rRNA from 2 species
CUUUUAGACCUCAAAUCAGGUGGGAUUACCCGCUGAACUUAAGCAUAUCAUAAGCGGAGGA